CAGAUCAAGAUGUGGGACUCUCAGCUCCUUCUCCAGCACCAUGUCUGCCUGCAUGCCACCAUAUUCCACUGUGAUGAUAAUGGACUAAACCUCUGAAACUGUUUCAGAUGUGAGCUGUCAGCUGUUCCUGUGGCCAAGUCUGGUGCCUGCUGCCUUGCUUCCUCACAGAGAUGGCGAUGGACUCCGACCUCUGGAAAUGCUCUGGAUGUGACCCAGCCUGGCUACACUGGAACUGUGGCCCUGAGCUCCAAUGGUGCAUGGAUCUUGGGGAAGACUGACCAGCACAGCUCACAUCUUGGUGAAGAGGAUGCAAGGCUUUAUGAUUGACAUUCAACGUCAUGAUCACAUGAAAUAGAAGGGAAAUUCCAAAAUCAAAGAGCAUUAGGGCAGAUUGAUUUUAGCAAGGAACAAAUGUCUCUAAUGUUCCUCUAAUAUCUUCCUCUUAAGAGGGACCAUCUUUCUAGAAAUGGUCACAGGGCAGAAGCAGAGGGUGUAGGUAAUCUGAUGAGACUGUCACUCUGUAUUCACAGUGAUGAAAUAGAUACAUGAUCCACAGGUAGAAUCAAGAGAGAAGGCAUAGGGAAUGAAUCACUCUUGAAGAGCCUUCACUAAAUGAGAUUGAUCUUAAGAUGCUCAAGAAGACUGCCUGGGAGUGCAGCUUGGUGGUAGGUUGUGGGCCUAGCACACAUGAAGCACUAGGUUCAAUCUCCAGCAGGACAAAGGAGGAAAUGAAGGAAUGGAGGAGAGGAUUGUAGGCAAAGGGUGUGUUUGGUUGGAACCUCCAGCUCACUCCUGCUUGAUCUGGAAAGCCCCAUCCCUGUCUCUCUCUCCAAACCCCACCCUCUCAGAGACUCUCCAACAAAGAAAAGGCACCAAAAAGCCCAGUUCUGCAUUCUUGGACAGGAUUGCAACUUCCUCUCCUGUUGCCGCCAGCAGCCCAAGUCCCUUCCUCAGCAUUUAGCUUUUGACCAUACUUGGGCACAAACCCAGUCUGUGGCGUGCAUGCCAUCACCCCUCCCCUACAACCUAUAUAAUCUCCCUGCUUUGG